rnacentral:rRNA from 1 species
ACGUAGGGUGCGAGCGUUAAUCGGAAUUACUGGGCGUAAAGCGUGCGCAGGCGGUUUUGUAAGUCGGAUGUGAAAUCCCCGGGCUCAACCUGGGAACUGCGUUCGAAACUGCAAGGCUAGAGUGUGUCAGAGGGGGGUAGAAUUCCACGUGUAGCAGUGAAAUGCGUAGAGAUGUGGAGGAAUACCAAUGGCGAAGGCAGCCCCCUGGGAUAACACUGACGCUCAUGCACGAAAGCGUGGGGAGCAAACAGG